rnacentral:rRNA from 1 species
UGUUUCGGCUAGGGGGCCAUCCCGGCUUACCAACCCGAUGCAAACUGCGAAUACCGGAGAAUGUUAUCACGGGAGACACACGGCGGGUGCUAACGUCCGUCGUGAAGAGGGAAACAACCCAGACCGCCAGCUAAGGUCCCAAAGUCAUGGUUAAGUGGGAAACGAUGUGGGAAGGCCCAGACAGCCAGGAUGUUGGCUUAGAAGCAGCCAUCAUUUAAAGAAAGCGUAAUAGCUCACUGGUCGAGUCGGCCUGCGCGGAAGAUGUAACGGGGCUAAACCAUGCACCGAAGCUGCGGCAGCGAACGUAUCACCCAAGACAACUUUACGGAGUUAACGAUUGACGGAGCGAAGCGACGUCAAAGCGUUCAUUAAAGUCGAGUUGGCUUA